rnacentral:lncRNA from 1 species
AGUUGCCAGACAAUGAGGGACACUUCAGGAGCCAGGGGUGGGCAGCUAAGGAGAAAGGGGUAGCUCCAAAUAAGAAAAAGGUCCAGAAAGAGGAAGCAGGAGUAUCUGAGACAGUGAUCUACCUCAAAAAUUGGGAAGAGAACAUCAAGAUAGAAUAGAUCAAUGUUGCUCUUUGUGGAGAUGCAAAUAUUAAAAAGUAACAAGUAUAUUUUUGUGAAUUUAGGAGGAAAACAUGUGUCACCUAAAGGCAUUAGUUCUUUCACUUGAAUCAUGAAGUAAUAUAAGGUCACACUACAAACCAGCAACCAUGGAUCUAUAUGAAGCAGUGGUUCCAAGGUGGCUAGUGGUGAAGAAUCGGCCCGCCAGUGAAGGAGACAUAAGAGACUCAGGUCUGAUCCCUGAGUUAGGAAGAUCCCCUGGAGGAGGAAAUGGCAACCUACUCCAGUAUUCUCACCUGGAUCAUCCCCUACAUAGAGGAGCCUGACAGGAGUCACAAAGAGUUGGACACAACUGAAGCAACUUAACACACAAAUAUGUUAUAUGGAUCAAAGUUACUAAACCCUAAAUUCUCCUAGUUCUGACAUGUGAAAUGGUCAUUAGCUAACCAAUGAAGACUAUCAAAAUUUAAGAGUACUUGGAUAUUUCCUCACAAGUAUAGGAUUCAUAAGGGAAGCGAAGCUUGGAGUCAUUUAAGGUGAAUGCUCAUCCCCAACCUAGAGAUAAGUAGUAAGAGGAAGGGAAGUAAGCCAGUCAGGAGACAGUUUAGAGUCAGUGCAAAGUGUACAGGACCAUUUGGAGAGUUCUAGCACUAGUCCCAGGAGAGAAACUGAUAACUGAGACCAGUGGGGAUCAAAGGAGUGAGGAGGCAGGCUUUAGACACCUGCCUGGCAUGUGGUGGGACUUCACCCCCGAGUAUCAAAAAUACACACACACACACUCACACAUAUAUAUAUACACCUCAGAGUAUUAAACAUAAAUAUAUACAUACAUAUGUAUAUAACCCAGAGUAUUAAAUAUAUAUAUACACACAUACAUACACAUAAGGAAAAAAAGCCCUAGUUAAGAAUGAUUGCAUUAAAUUUUGGAGAAACAAAUAUAAAAUAACUGCUGAGUUUGCUGAUUUUUGAAUCUACUCCAAGCCUUACCCCUCGAGCAUCUGCUGAUGGUUGGGGUAUCUGAACGACGAACCAGAAAGAUUCACAAUUAAUCUUAGUUCUAGAACCAAAAUAGGGGCUCUAUAUUUUAAAGUAAUGAGGAAAAAAACCCUAGACCUUUAAAGGAUUUUUAAAUCUUCAUUUAUAAUAUAAAUUGAAGGUCAAACCAAGAAUCAGAAAGUAUUCCCUAAAGCAUAACUUCCAGCCUGCACUUAAAUCUCUAGUCUUUGUAACCUAGCACUGUGCAUUGUUGAGCCAAGUGUAUUUUAAAGCUAUUCAGUUUAGUAGGACAAAUAGGAAUUGGUACCAAUUGUCUGCCAGGAAGGUUUC